UUCUUUCCUUAGCUUGUCUGGCAGUUCUCUAAAAGUUAAAAAAUAUACAAGUGUACACUUGUUAGGAAAAAAGUACUGGCCUCAGAAACUCAAAAAUUCUUUGCAUUUAGUUAUUCUGGAAGAAUCUACAUUAUCAAUACACGCACUAGCAGAGGACCGCAGUAGCUCUGGUACGUGCCCCAAGGUCCUGGGUUCACUUAGGAUCAGAUGCUUUACUCCCCACUGAGACUGUGAAUACCUCAUUUGGGGACUACAGGAGGCCCUGGUUCUCCUCACCCAAGGGAGACCAUCUAGAAGGCCUCCUAUAGUUUCUCACGGUGCAGUCAUUCAAGGCCUGUUUCCUAUUCUAUGGGCUCAGAAGCCACUCCCAACCCCAAGCCAGUGCAGAAAAACAAAAUGACGUAGAUCAGAACUAGAUUCUCCUGCUAUUCCCACAAAUAAAAUUUUUCACGAGAAUCUAAAAAAAGUAAUCGCAUAACUCUUGAAUGAGCUAAUAAUUUUCACAGCUGAGAAGUAAAUCUGAUGACUUUUCCCCCAGAUGAGGCUCACGUAUGUGUGAAGUUAUCCAGGUUGAAGGGGUGGGGAGAGAAGAAAGGGUUAAGAGAUGAAAAUAAAACAACCCUGCUUACAAAAUCCUAUUUAUGUAAAAAUUAUAUUUGUGAAGGAAUGGAGGAAUCUAAAAUAUUAAAAGAAAGCUAAGAAAGUGCUUAUACAUUAUGAACACUGGCAAAGGAUCUGAACAGUUUUCAGGAGUGUAAAUACAAUUGAUCAGCAUUUUUAAAAACAUCAGUGUCUUUGGUCAACAAGACCAUUCUUUUCCCACCACGUACGCCCCGACGAGUGCAGUUACGUGAGCACUGCCUCCACCAACAGGGCAGGAGGAGCAUAACGGAGCACUGUCCUUUGGAAAACAGCUUUGAAAUAAAUUCCUACUGUCUCAGAAAUAUCCAAACACUGGACUCAGUGAUUUUACAUUUCAGAAUCUAUCUGAAGGAACAACCUCAAAAUGUAAAGAACAGUGUGUAAACAGAAGAAUGAACUUCCAAGUUCACCAGUAUGGGCACAGCUAAAUCGAGUUCAGUAGACAUGUACCCAACAGAGUGAUGUUAGCCUUUUUGGAGGACAGACAUUAUGAAUGCUCAUCACGGAUGUGGGCAAAUGCUUAAAUAUUGCCAUAACUAGAAAAAAAGUUGGAUACAAAGUUGCAUGUGGAAUGUAUGCUUGCAAGAAAAUUUUAAUCAGAUCCUUUUGCUAGACUGCCUGUUAAAAAUUCAUCCUAGUUAUUAAAUACAACUGUUAUAUUUUUCCCUCCUGUUUUAAGCAACAGGUAAUUGCUCAGAGAGGUGCCAAGGUGAACAGGUUUUACACUUGGGCCAGGAGUAUAAUGUUUGCAUGUUGAGCUGGGUUGGCCCUAGAGAUAAUUUAUUAAUGUUCUCUGACAUCUCGGGACAUCCUUAGCUGCGAAUGCAAAUAUAUGUUGCUGCCCCAAUUCACCAAACUUUUGGUUGAUGGUCUGGGUCUCUUAGAGACUGUGUUAAGUUAUAUUUAUUUUCUUCUAGGCAGUGGUGACAAUUUUCUGUCCUAGAAUGAAUUACAAGGGAAGAAGCUUCUAUCUGUGACAGAGAACCUACAUAGGUCUCAAGAGGAAACUCAGGUGAUGAAAGGGAUAAGUGCAUCUUGGGUCCCAGACAAGGGAUACAGAUUCCUCCAUAUGACCUUCCACAGGACUGUAUACCCGAUUCUCCAUCUGAUGUUCCAGGAUGAAGUCAAACAGGAGAAAAAAAGAACUGAGGUGAGGGACAGAUGAAGGCAAAAUGUUGAUAACUGUUCAAGUUUGGCAGGUGGGUUGCUGACAGCGAAGGCAAAGCGGAUUUCCUGCAUUAUCCACAGCUUGCAGAUAGCCUUUGGAUAUAGAAGGCUUCACAGCGAGAUCAGCUUGGGCUAUGCAGGGAUUUAGAAAUGGGACAGAGACUCCAUCAUCAAGGAACUUUCUGGAAGUGAACAAAACAUUGACUAAGUAAUGAACACGUACACUCGUCUAAAUAGUCACUACUUCAUGUAACAGCCUUUAAAGUUUCAAUACUGAUAACCAGUAAAUGUAAGACUCAUGGAUUCUGUGACUGAGUGUGGAAAUGAAACAGCCAGAGUCAGCACUCGAUGCUCAUGCCAAAUGAAGGAAAGGAUGAUGUGUUAAAAAAAUUCAUUUGAAUAUAAAUAUGCUGCCUCUCUUGGGAGUUUAUAUAUCUCCAAGUUAAACAACCAGACUUUGAAACAUCUGGAGAAGUUGGAAAAUGAGAAGUUAAAAAUGCUUCUUCAAUCUGGGAAAGGACGGGCUAAUGUAAAACCCCACUUGGAGUUGGGGCUACUGUACUCUACAUGUGUUGGGCCACACACCUCACUAGGACACAGAGACCAUUAUGAAGGCUUCCACGACACUCUCGGAGAGCCCCUGUGGGCCUACCGGAAACAGUCACAUCCAUAAAGUGACAGAGCCAAGAAGCUAAUGGUGUUGACAGGAACUAUCAACAUUAGACUUGCUAAAUAUGUGCCUCCUCCAGAAGGGUCCUGUGGCCUGGACUCCUUUGUGAUCAGACGAACAUGGCCCCCAUCAUUCUUGACCUUGUCCAGUGAGGCUACAGCAACAUCUUCUUUGCUGAUGUAUCUAAAACAAUUACAUGGUGAGUAGAUUUCCUCUCUCUGCUGAGUUUCUCUAUUUCAUGAUCACAUUACUCUUUGUAAAAGCAAUAGGAGAGAAAGCAAGAUGGGGUCUUUAUUGUGCUAAUACUAAAAUUAGGGCAUAGAAUUUUCUAUCCUAACAUUGGUCUCCAUGUGUGGGAAAGACACCUCUGUUCCAAAUUAGUUUCUUAAGAUUUAUUUUUCUAAGACAUUCAGAGUCACUCAAUAUCCUUUGGACCAAUUUUCACUUAGGGGAUAAGAGGAGUGGGUGUAGGAAUAAGAAGUGAUCAAAUACAUGCACAACUGACAUCCUUGAGUAAAUACCUUGUUGAGCUGUGCGGAUAAUCUCUCACUGCAUUUUUACCUCCCUUUUGGCCUUUUCUUCAAGGUCCCUCAAAUCACCUCAAUCAUUUAUAAUGGUGUAUCAGCAUACUCGGGUAAAGAGAUUCUCUUUUUAGUUAACCAGGUUCAAUAACAACUUCUAUAAUCCCAAGGUUGUUUCCAUUAUUGUCAGCCAUACAGAGUUUAUGGAAUCUUCCACUGAAAUAAAGCCACUCUUGAUGUGGGAUUCAGAACCUUAUUACACAACACUAUCAAUACCACACAAUGGUUUAGGGACUGGAAGUAAAGAGGAAAGUUAUUCCAAUUAAAGGUGACGGGGGAAUUUAAGUAGGUAAAAUGCAAUUACCCAAUUAAUUCCUUCUAAUUAGCAUGGCCCACUUUCUCUGGUAGUUUACACUUUUGUAGCUUUUUUUUCCUUUUUAAUUAGUUUGAACAUGAAUUUCUUCAUAUUUCCAAGUACUUCCUAGUUUGCUAACUUGACAAUAAAAUUUAAAUCACAAUGGAAUGGCGCAAUAUUAGGUAAAGUCUUAGAAAUUUACUUUUAUGUUAAAGUAGACUUAAAAAUCAACAGAUUUUCUUGUUUUUAAAUUUUUUUUUUUUUUACGUUUAUUUAUUUUUGAGACAGA